AUAUAACCCUGCAAUGGAGUCUGGCCUUGCAAUAAGGUAACCAUAGAGAUUGCAGACACUCUCCCAGGAUUCCGCUGACCACUAAGGUUAUGGAAUGGGUGGAGACAUCUGGGAUUGUUUGAGGAGAAAGCAGAGAUUGAUGUAUGGAGGCGUCUUCCAUUUUGGGAAAACACAGGGAGAUGCUAGUGUCUAAAGAUGCCCUAGCUCUUUCAUUCAAAGAAAUUCUGAUGAAAACCUGAUUGGUGGUCUGUGUGGAGAAUGAGGUGCUGUGAUACUGAAUGGCUCAGACUUGAGACUAAGGUGGAGUGUGUCUGGAGUGGAAGGGUGAAGAAUUGUGUUGGAGAAAGCAUUUUUGAGGAAUCUAUGGUAUACAGAGGUUAAGAACCUUGCUGUGUCUGAAACCAAAUUUUAACUCAGCUCUUUCUGACUCCGGGCCUAAUGCUAUAUAUACAUUGCACCACUGACUGCCUCUCUCAGACAAUGAAAUAAGAAUAGCUGCCACAAACACUAUAUACAAAACUGGAGUGCAGCUCAGCAAAUUCACACAGCAUCGAGAAUGGACUUGAACUUAGAGCAACAGCAAUAAGGCAGGUGCAUGAGGCAUCCUACAACUGGAAAUUUCCUUAAAUAGGUGACCUGUCCAGGGUGACACAGCCAGGACAGAUUAAGUGUUUGAGGUGAAACCUCCUGACUUUAGCAACAGCAAUAAGGCAGGUGCUUGAGGCAUCCUACAACUGGAAAUUUCCUGAAAUAGUUUACAGGACUUUGGGUUUCAAGAUGCCAGACAACUGUUUUUAACUUCCAUUGACAGAUAUAUUCCAUUUUGGAUCAGAAGACUAUCAUUCAUAUGUAUAUAUGUAUGCAUACAUGAGUGUGCAUAUUAUUGCAGUUAUACAAAUAUACAUGCACACUUGGGUAUAUACAUGUGCACAUAUAUACCUGCAAAUACACAUGCAUGUACUUAUGUAUAUAUUUAGCCAUGUGUGUAUGCUGUAGUCUAGAAAUCCAAACCCACCCUGUGACAUCUUCACUGUCAUACAAUACUCCAUGUAGCUCUAUGAAGUUCUCUUAGAUCUAAGCAUAAUUAAUACAGACACAGCCCUGGCUUUAUUUGGAGGAUGCAGGAAUUCUUCAUUUCAU